rnacentral:rRNA from 1 species
GAUGAACGCUGGCGGCGUGCCUAAUACAUGCAAGUCGAGCGAACGGACGAGAAGCUUGCUUCUCUGAUGUUAGCGGCGGACGGGUGAGUAACACGUGGAUAACCUACCUAUAAGACUGGGAUAACUUCGGGAAACCGUAGCUAAUACCGGAUAAUAUUUUGAACCGCAUGGUUCAAAAGUGAAAGACGGUCUUGCUGUCACUUAUAGAUGGAUCCGCGCUGCAUUAGCUAGUUGGUAAGGUAACGGCUUACCAAGGCAACGAUGCAUAGCCGACCUGAGAGGGGGAUCGGCCACACUGGAACUGAGACACGGUCCAGACUCCUACGGGAGGCAGCAGUAGGGAAUCUUCCGCAAUGGGCGAAAGCCUGACGGAGCAACGCCGCGUGAGUGAUGAAGGUCUUCGGAUCGUAAAACGCUGUUAUUAGGGAAGAACAUAUGUGUAAGUAACUGUGCACAUCUGGACGGUACCUAAUCAGAAAGCCACGACUAACUACGU